GCAUAUCAAUAAGCGGAGGAAAAGAAACCAACAGGGAUUGCCUCAGUAACGGCGAAGUGAAGCGGCAAAAGCUCAAAUUUGAAAUCUGGCUCCAUGCGGAGCCCGAGUUGUAAUUUGGAGAGGACACUUCGGGUGCGGCCACGGCAUAAGUUCCUUGGAACAGGACGUCAUAGAGGGUGAGAAUCCCGUCUUUGGCUGCUGGACCGCGCCCAUGCGAAGUUCCUUCGACGAGUCGAGUUGUUUGGGAAUGCAGCUCUAAGUGGGUGGUAAAUUUCAUCUAAAGCUAAAUAUUGGCCGGAGACCGAUAGCGCACAAGUAGAGUGAUCGAAAGGUUAAAAGCACCUUGAAAAGGGAGUUAAAUAGCACGUGAAAUUGUUGAAAGGGAAGCGCUUGCAACCAGACUCGGUCGUGGGGGCUCAGCGGGCAUGCGUGCCCGUGUACUCCCCCAUGCUCCGGGCCAGCAUCAGUUCUGGCGGUUGGUUAAAGGCCUCUGGAAUGUAUCGUCCUCCGGGACGUCUUAUAGCCAGGGGCGCAAUGCGGCCAGCCGGGACUGAGGAACGCGCUUCGGCACGGAUGCUGGCAUAAUGGUUGUAAGCGGCCCGUCUUGAAACACGGACCAAGGAGUCUAACAUCCACGCGAGUGUUCGGGUGUCAAACCCGUGCGCGCAGUGAAAGCGAACGGAGGUGGGAGCCCGCAAGGGUGCACCAUCGACCGAUCCUGAAGUCUUCGGAUGGAUUUGAGUAAGAGCGUGGCUGUUGGGACCCGAAAGAUGGUGAACUAUGCCUGAAUAGGGUGAAGCCAGAGGAAACUCUGGUGGAGGCUCGCAGCGGUUCUGACGUGCAAAUCGAUCGUCAAAUUUGGGUAUAGGGGCGAAAGACUAAUCGAACCAUCUGGUAGCUGGUUCCUGCGA
rnacentral:rRNA from 1 species